AAGGCCUACGGGUCAUCAACUUCUUUUCUCGGAGAAGAAACAAUGACGCUAUCUGUGAAUAAGCAUCGGCUAACUCUAUGCCAGCAGCUGCGGUAAGACAGAGGAUGCAAGCGUUAUCCGGAAUGAUUGGGCAUAAAGCAUCUGUAGGUGGCUUUUCAAGUCCGCCGUCAAAUCCCAGGGCUCAACCCUGGACAGUCGGUGGAAACUACCAAGCUGGAGUACGGUAGGGGCAGAGGGAAUUUCCGGUGGAGCGGUGAAAUGCAUUGAGAUCAGAAAGAACACCAACGGCGAAAGCACUCUGCUGGGCCGACACUGACACUAAGAGACGAAAGCUAGGGGAGCAAAUAGGAUUAGAGAACCCAGUAGUCCUACCCGUAAACGAUGGAUACUAGGUGCUGUGCGACUCGCCCAUGCAGUGCUGUAGCUAAUGCGUUAAGUAUCCCGCCU
rnacentral:rRNA from 1 species